rnacentral:lncRNA from 1 species
ACGUCUAAGAAAUAAUUCAUACUGAUAUUUAUGAACCAUUCCCUAUGGCUUCCUGAAAUGGUCAACUGUCACGCGCCGGGGUCCUUUUGAAGUUUUAAAAUCGAUGCGGAAGUGCCCAAUUUUUUUUUUUUUUUUUGAAAACCUUGACCCCAGGGGAUGUCAGAUCCGCCACAAAUACAGGAACCCACUGUUCACACGACAGAGUCUCUCCUGUAGUUGCACAGCAUCGCACAAAUAGAAGAUACAACCACAAUGUAUAACCAUACACAUACAAUCACCACAUCGCAUAUACCAUUUUACAUUCAUUCAAUCACCAGUUUAUCAUAUUUUCAUCAUAAAUCUACAUUUAUUAGUUUAAAAUAUUUUCCACUCGAAAACUUAUUUUGAAAUACCAAGAAUCAUGAAAACCAAAAAACUCUUUUUAAAACCGUUUCCCAUACGGAAAUCUUUUUUUAAAAAAACAAGUUACCAUGAGGGGUAGAAAACCAUUUUCAUAAUCUCACAAAAAAAUCAUAAGCACUUUAUUAAUUUCACAAAACCACAAGUAUCCAAAUAAAAUAGAACCAACUGAAUCAUAAUUAUCUAAGUUACUUUAUUCGGGGAAACAGAUCAGGAAUUAACCGUAAAUCACCGGGCCGAAAUUGUCACGCCCCGCUAUCGCCAAUUUGGUCGAUCCGGGCCCGUACACAGACGCCUAACGGACAGCACCUCCCCUGUCCGCCCAAGGCUCAACAACAACGAGUACAUGUAUAAAGAAAUAAAUAAUUCUCAGGAUAGCAUUUCAAUAUACAUGGCUUGCACGAGGGCAAGCAACAAUAACAAGUGAAAGUAAACUAACUAAACAUGCAUUUACUAUAUUUUCAUGCAAAACUUUAAACCAAAACCAAUCAAGCAGAUAAUUAUAACUUUA